rnacentral:rRNA from 1 species
AUACGUAGGGUGCGAGCGUUGUCCGGAAUUACUGGGCGUAAAGAGCUCGUAGGUGGUUUGUCGCGUCGUCUGUGAAAUUCCGGGGCUUAACUCCGGGCGUGCAGGCGAUACGGGCAUAACUUGAGUACUGUAGGGGAGACUGGAAUUCCUGGUGUAGCGGUGAAAUGCGCAGAUAUCAGGGGGAACACCGGUGGCGAAGGCGGGUCUCUGGGCAGUAACUGACGCUGAGGAGCGAAAGCAUGGGUAGCGAACAGGAUUAGAUACCCUGGUAGUCCAUGCCGUAAACGGUGGGCGCUAGGUGUAGGGGUCUUCCACGACUUCUGUGCCGUAGCUAACGCAUUAAGCGCCCCGCCUGGGGAGUACGGCCGCAAGGCUGAAACUCAAAUGAAUUGACGGGG